AGCGGAGGGAUCAUUACUGAGUUAUUGAAACUCCAAACCCUUUGUGAACCUUACUGUCGUUGCCUCGGCGUGAGCUACGGCUACCCUGUAGUUACCCUAUAGCUACCCUGCAGCUACCCUAUAGUUGACCAGUAGCUACCCUGUAGUUACCCUAUAGCUACCCUGCAGCUACCCUAUAGUUGACAUGUAGCUACCCUGUAGCCGGCUUAUGGCCCGCCGAAGGACCGCUAAACUCUUGUUUUUUUACCACUGUUCCUCUGAAUUGUAAACUUAAAUAAGUUAAAACUUUCAACAACGGAUCUCUUGGUUCUGGCAUCGAUGAAGAACGCAGCGAAAUGCGAUAAGUAAUGUGAAUUGCAGAAUUCAGUGAAUCAUCGAAUCUUUGAACGCACAUUGCGCCCAUUAGUAUUCUAGUGGGCAUGCCUAUUCGAGCGUCAUUUCGACCCUUAAGCCCCUGUUGCUUAGCGUUGGGAAUCUACAGCGUAGUUCCUUAAAGUUAGUGGCGGAGUUAGGGUACACUCUCAGCGUAGUAAUCUUUCUCGCUCGUGUGGUGGCCCUGGCUGCUAGCCGUUAAACCCCUAUAUUUUCUAGUGGUUGACCUCGGAUUAGGUAGGAAUACCCGCUGAACUUAAGCAU
rnacentral:rRNA from 1 species